AGCGAACGCUGGCGGCAGGCUUAACACAUGCAAGUCGAGCGGGCACUUUCGGGUGUCAGCGGCGGACGGGUGAGUAACGCGGGGGAACGUGCCCUCUGGUUCGGAAUAACUCAGGGAAACUUGAGCUAAUACCGGAUACGCCCUUUUGGGGAAAGGCUUGCUGCCGGAGGAUCGGCCCGCGUCUGAUUAGCUAGUUGGUGAGGUAACGGCUCACCAAGGCGACGAUCAGUAGCUGGUCUGAGAGGAUGAUCAGCCACACUGGGACUGAGACACGGCCCAGACUCCUACGGGAGGCAGCAGUGGGGAAUAUUGGACAAUGGGCGCAAGCCUGAUCCAGCCACGCCGCGUGAGUGAUGAAGGCCUUAGGGUUGUAAAGCUCUUUUAUCCGGGACGAUAAUGACGGUACCGGAGGAAUAAGCCCCGGCUAACUUCGUG
rnacentral:rRNA from 1 species